rnacentral:rRNA from 1 species
UACCAGCACCCCGAGUGGUCGGGACGAUUAUUGGGCCUAAAGCAUCCGUAGCCGGUUCUGCAAGUCCCCCGUUAAAUCCAGCUGCUCAACAGAUGGGCCGCGGAGGAUACUCCAGAGCUAGGAGGCAGGAGAGGCAAGCGGUACUCAGUGGGUAGGGGUAAAAUCCGUUGAUCCAUUGAAGACCACCAGUGGCGAAGGCGGCUUGCCAGAAUGCGCUCGACGGUGAGGGAUGAAAGCUGGGGGAGCAAACAGG